rnacentral:rRNA from 1 species
UACAGAGGUCUCAAGCGUUGUUCGGAUUCAUUGGGCGUAAAGGGUGCGUAGGUGGCAGGGUAAGUCGGAUGUGAAAUCCCGGGGCUCAACCUCGGAACUGCAUUCGAUACUGCUUUGCUGGAGUACUGGAGAGGAGAUUGGAAUUUACGGUGUAGCGGUGAAAUGCGUAGAUAUCGUAAGGAAGACCAGUGGCGAAGGCGGGUCUCUGGACAGUUCCUGACGCUGAGGCACGAAGGUCAGGGGAGCAAACGGG